rnacentral:lncRNA from 1 species
UUGUUCGGCAUGGGUUUUGGUUGUAAUUUGUGUGCUCUCCUUUUUUUCUUUCUUAUUUGCAGGAUCUGGUUUUGUGUUUUUUUUUUUUAAUGUUGGAACCUUUUCUUAUUGGAGGAGGUAGCUUGAUUGGGGAGUUGAUUUUAGGGUUUUUUGCCAUUGAUUUGCAAAACGGGAAAGAUAGGCUUUUUUUUUGCCUUUUCUGUUUCCACCACUUUAGCCCUCCCUUUGGCUUUCAGAGAUUGAGAAAAA